GACGAACGCUGGCGGCGUGCUUAACCCAUGCAAGUCGAACGGAAAGGCCCUGCUUUUGUGGGGUGCUCGAGUGGCGAACGGGUGAGUAACACGUGAGUAACCUGCCCUUGACUUUGGGAUAACUUCAGGAAACUGGGGCUAAUACCGGAUAGGAGCUCCUGCUGCAUGGUGGGGGUUGGAAAGUUUCGGCGGUUGGGGAUGGACUCGCGGCUUAUCAGCUUGUUGGUGGGGUAGUGGCUUACCAAGGCUUUGACGGGUAGCCGGCCUGAGAGGGUGACCGGCCACAUUGGGACUGAGAUACGGCCCAGACUCCUACGGGAGGCAGCAGUGGGGAAUAUUGCACAAUGGGCGGAAGCCUGAUGCAGCAACGCCGCGUGCGGGAUGACGGCCUUCGGGUUGUAAACCGCUUUCGCCUGUGACGAAGCGUGAGUGACGGUAAUGGGUAAAGAAGCACCGGCUGACUACGUG
rnacentral:rRNA from 1 species